AGAGUUUGAUCAUGGCUCAGAGACGACGCUGGCGGCAGGCUUUAACACAUGCAAGUCGAGCGGGCGUAGCAAUACGUCAGCGGCAGACGGGUGAGUAACGCGUGGGAACGUACCUUUUGGUUCGGAACAACACAGGGAAACUUGUGCUAAUACCGGAUAAGCCCUUACGGGGGAAAGAUUUAUCGCCGAAAGAUCGGCCCGCGUCUGAUUAGCUUGUUGGUGAGGUAACGGCUCACCAAGGCGACGAUCGGUAGCUGGUCUGAGAGGAUGAUCAGCCACAUUGGGACUGAGACACGGCCCAAACUCCUACGGGAGGCAGCAGUGGGGAAUAUUGGACAAUGGGGGAAACCCUGAUCCAGCCAUGCCGCGUGAGUGAUGAAGGCCCUAGGGUUGUAAAGCUCUUUUGUGCGGGAAGAUAAUGACGGUACCGCAAGAAUAAGCCCCGGCUAACUUCGUG
rnacentral:rRNA from 1 species